rnacentral:rRNA from 1 species
GACGAACGCUGGCGGCGUACUUAACACAUGCAAGUCGAACGGAAAGGCCCUUCGGGGUACUCGAGUGGCGAACGGGUGAGUAACACGUGGGUGAUCUGCCCUGCACUUCGGGAUAAGCCUGGGAAACUGGGUCUAAUACCGGAUAUGAUCAUCGGCUUCAUGGUCGGUGGUGGAAAGCUUUUGCGGUGUGGGAUGGGCCCGCGGCCUAUCAGCUUGUUGGUGGGGUAAUGGCCUACCAAGGCGUCGACGGGUAGCCGGCCUGAGAGGGUGUCCGGCCACACUGGGACUGAGAUACGGCCCAGACUCCUACGGGAGGCAGCAGUGGGGAAUAUUGCACAAUGGGCGCAAGCCUGAUGCAGCGACGCCGCGUGGGGGAUGACGGCCUUCGGGUUGUAAACCUCUUUCAGCACAGACGAAGCGCAAGUGACGGUAUGUGCAGAAGAAGCACCGGCCAACUACGUGCCAGCCGCCGCAGUAAAAC